rnacentral:rRNA from 1 species
GUCGAGAAUCUUUCACAAUGGGGGCAACCCUGAUGGAGCGACGCCGCGUGGAGGAUAAGGUCUUCGGAUUGUAAACUCCUGUCAUGCGUGAACAAGGUUGCUUGGUUAAUACCUGGGCAAAUUGAUGGUAACGCAAGAGGAAGAGACGGCUAACUCUGUGCCAGCAGCCGCGGUAAUACAGAGGUCUCAAGCGUUGUUCGGAAUCACUGGGCGUAAAGGGUGCGUAGGUGGCGUGGUAAGUCAGAUGUGAAAGCCCGGGGCUCAACCUCGGAACUGCAUCCGCUACUGCCAUGCUAGAGUACUGUAGAGUUGACUAGAAUUCUCGGUGUAGCAGUGAAAUGCGUAGAUAUCGAGAGGAAUACCAAAGGCGUAGGCAUGUCACUGGACAGUUACUGACACUGAGGCACGAAGGCCAGGGGAGCGAACGGGAUUAGAAACCCGAGUAGUCC